CUGUUCUAGUUGAUAAAUACGUAUACUUAUUGUUUUAAUUUAUAAAUGUUUAUUGUGAGUUUUGUAAAAUCAGUGAACGUGAAUUGAUUUCAUCAAUAUCGGAUUGUUAACGUUAAGUGAUAAAUAUGAAUAUAAACGAAAAUAAAAGAAUAUAUUUCAGUAAUAUUAGUUAUUUUAUCCGCGACUAGAAUUAUUUCUUUGUUAUUGAUCGAAGUUGUGAUAGAGACCUACCCCACCGGCUACAGCUAAAGGGACCGACGUAAGUGGAGGCUCGAAUUGGAACAUUUUAACGUAAACAAUCGAAGUGGACCUGGUCAUAAAUAAAUACACAUCAAGUGUUAUUGGAUUGUAAGAAAAAACGUUGCUCAAAAUAAUAAAAUCACCGCUUUAUUUAAAUCUAAAUAAAUGCACACACAUGACAUGUUACAGUUAUUGUCUGUACCAAAAACUAAAGUAAAGUUGGGUGCUGAAAA
rnacentral:lncRNA from 1 species